UACGGAGGGUGCGAGCGUUGUCCGGAAUCACUGGGCGUAAAGGGCGCGUAGGUGGCGCGGGCAGUCAACGGUGAAAGUUCGGGGCUCAACCCUGAAUCGGCCGUCGAUACUCCCGGGCUCGAGCACUGUAGAGGCAGGUGGAAUUCCGGGUGUAGCGGUGGAAUGCGUAGAGAUCCGGAAGAACACCGGUGGCGAAGGCGGCCUGCUGGGCAGUAGCUGACGCUGAUGCGCGACAGCGUGGGGAGCGAACAGG
rnacentral:rRNA from 1 species